rnacentral:tRNA from 1 species
CGCGGGGUGGAGCAGUUCGGUAGCUCGUCGGGCUCAUAACCCGAAGGUCGUAGGUUCAAAUCCUACCCCCGCCACCA